rnacentral:rRNA from 1 species
UACGAAGGGGGCUAGCGUUGCUCGGAAUCACUGGGCGUAAAGCGCACGUAGGCGGAUUGCUAAGUCAGGGGUGAAAUCCUGGAGCUCAACUCCAGAACUGCCUUUGAUACUGGCGAUCUUGAGUCCGGGAGAGGUGAGUGGAACUCCGAGUGGUAGAGGUGAAAUUCGUAGAUAUUCGGAAAGAACACCAGUGGCGAAGGCGGCUCACUGGCCCGGUACUGACGCUGAGGUGCGAAAGCGUGG